rnacentral:rRNA from 1 species
CCUACGGGGGGCAGCAGUGAGGAAUUUUGCGCAAUGGGGGAAACCCUGACGCAGCAACGCCGCGUGAGCGAAGAAGGCCUUCGGGUCGUAAAGCUCUGUCAAGUGGGAAAAAAGCCUUUUGGUUAAUAUCCGGGAGGUCCGAUGGUACCACUGGAGGAAGCACCGGCUAACUCCGUGCCAGCAGCCGCGGUAAUACGGAGGGUGCAAGCGUUGUUCGGAAUUACUGGGCGUAAAGCGCGUGCAGGCGGUUUGGUAAGUCAGAUGUGAAAGCCCUGGGCUCAACCCGGGAAGUGCAUUUGAAACUGCCUUUCUUGAGUAUGGGAGAGGAGAGUGGAAUUCCCAGUGUAGAGGUGAAAUUCGUAGAUAUUGGGAGGAACACCCGUGGCGAAGGCGACUCUCUGGACCAAUACUGACGCUGAGACGCGAAAGCGUGGGGAGCAAACAGGAUUAGAUACCCUAGUAGUC